GGGUUGUGAGGUUAAGCGACUAAGCGUACACGGUGGAUGCCCUGGCAGUCAGAGGCGAUGAAGGACGUGCUAAUCUGCGAAAAGCGUCGGUAAGGUGAUAUGAACCGUUAUAACCGGCGAUGUCCGAAUGGGGAAACCCAGUGCAAUUCGUUGCACUAUCGUUAACUGAAUACAUAGGUUAACGAGGCGAACCGGGGGAACUGAAACAUCUAAGUACCCCGAGGAAAAGAAAUCAACCGAGAUUCCCCCAGUAGCGGCGAGCGAACGGGGAGCAGCCCAGAGUCUGAAUCAGCUUGUGUGUUAGUGGAACGGUCUGGAAAGUCCGACGGUACAGGGUGAUAGUCCCGUACACCAAAAUGCACAGGCUGUGAACUCGAAGAGUAGGGCGGGACACGUGGUAUCCUGUCUGAAUAUGGGGGGACCAUCCUCCAAGGCUAAAUACUCCUGACUGACCGAUAGUGAACCAGUACCGUGAGGGAAAGGCGAAAAGAACCCCGGCGAGGGGAGUGAAAAAGAACCUGAAACCGUGUACGUACAAGCAGUGGGAGCACCUUCGGGUGUGACUGCGUACCUUUUGUAUAAUGGGUCAGCGACUUAUAUUCUGUAGCAAGGUUAACCGUAUAGGGGAGCCGCAGGGAAACCGAGUCUUAACUGGGCGUUAAGUUGCAGGGUAUAGACCCGAAACCCGGUGAUCUAGCCAUGGGCAGGUUGAAGGUUGGGUAACACUAACUGGAGGACCGAACCGACUAAUGUUGAAAAAUUAGCGGAUGACUUGUGGCUGGGGGUGAAAGGCCAAUCAAACCGGGAGAUAGCUGGUUCUCCCCGAAAGCUAUUUAGGUAGCGCCUCGUGAAUUCAUCUUCGGGGGUAGAGCACUGUUUCGGCUAGGGGGUCAUCCCGACUUACCAACCCGAUGCAAACUACGAAUACCGAAGAAUGUUAUCACGGGAGACACACGGCGGGUGCUAACGUCCGUCGUGAAGAGGGAAACAACCCAGACCGCCAGCUAAGGUCCCAAAGUCAUGGUUAAGUGGGAAACGAUGUGGGAAGGCACAGACAGCCAGGAUGUUGGCUUAGAAGCAGCCAUCAUUUAAAGAAAGCGUAAUAGCUCACUGGUCGAGUCGGCCUGCGCGGAAGAUGUAACGGGGCUAAACCAUGCACCGAAGCUGCGGCAGCGACACUAUGUGUUGUUGGGUAGGGGAGCGUUCUGUAAGCCUGCGAAGGUGUGCUGUGAGGCAUGCUGGAGGUAUCAGAAGUGCGAAUGCUGACAUAAGUAACGAUAAAGCGGGUGAAAAGCCCGCUCGCCGGAAGACCAAGGGUUCCUGUCCAACGUUAAUCGGGGCAGGGUGAGUCGACCCCUAAGGCGAGGCCGAAAGGCGUAGUCGAUGGGAAACAGGUUAAUAUUCCUGUACUUGGUGUUACUGCGAAGGGGGGACGGAGAAGGCUAUGUUAGCCGGGCGACGGUUGUCCCGGUUUAAGCAUGUAGGCUGAUUGUCCAGGCAAAUCCGGAUAAUCAAGGCUGAGGUGUGAUGACGAGGCACUACGGUGCUGAAGUAACAAAUGCCCUGCUUCCAGGAAAAGCCUCUAAGCAUCAGGUAACAUCAAAUCGUACCCCAAACCGACACAGGUGGUCAGGUAGAGAAUACCAAGGCGCUUGAGAGAACUCGGGUGAAGGAACUAGGCAAAAUGGUGCCGUAACUUCGGGAGAAGGCACGCUGGUGUGUAGGUGAAGCCCCUGCGGGUGGAGCUGAGACCAGUCGAAGAUACCAGCUGGCUGCAACUGUUUAUUAAAAACACAGCACUGUGCAAACACGAAAGUGGACGUAUACGGUGUGACGCCUGCCCGGUGCCGGAAGGUUAAUUGAUGGGGUUAUCCGUAAGGAGAAGCUCUUGAUCGAAGCCCCGGUAAACGGCGGCCGUAACUAUAACGGUCCUAAGGUAGCGAAAUUCCUUGUCGGGUAAGUUCCGACCUGCACGAAUGGCGUAAUGAUGGCCAGGCUGUCUCCACCCGAGACUCAGUGAAAUUGAACUCGCUGUGAAGAUGCAGUGUACCCGCGGCAAGACGGAAAGACCCCGUGAACCUUUACUAUAGCUUGACACUGAACAUUGAGCCUUGAUGUGUAGGAUAGGUGGGAGGCUUUGAAGCGUGGACGCCAGUCUGCGUGGAGCCAACCUUGAAAUACCACCCUUUAAUGUUUGAUGUUCUAACGUUGGCCCCUUACCGGGGUUGCGGACAGUGUCUGGUGGGUAGUUUGACUGGGGCGGUCUCCUCCCAAAGCGUAACGGAGGAGCACGAAGGUUAGCUAAUCCUGGUCGGACAUCAGGAGGUUAGUGCAAUGGCAUAAGCUAGCUUGACUGCGAGCGUGACGGCGCGAGCAGGUGCGAAAGCAGGUCAUAGUGAUCCGGUGGUUCUGAAUGGAAGGGCCAUCGCUCAACGGAUAAAAGGUACUCCGGGGAUAACAGGCUGAUACCGCCCAAGAGUUCAUAUCGACGGCGGUGUUUGGCACCUCGAUGUCGGCUCAUCACAUCCUGGGGCUGAAGUAGGUCCCAAGGGUAUGGCUGUUCGCCAUUUAAAGUGGUACGCGAGCUGGGUUUAGAACGUCGUGAGACAGUUCGGUCCCUAUCUGCCGUGGGCGCUGGAGAAUUGAGGGGGGCUGCUCCUAGUACGAGAGGACCGGAGUGGACGCAUCACUGGUGUUCGGGUUGUCAUGCCAAUGGCACUGCCCGGUAGCUAAAUGCGGAAGAGAUAAGUGCUGAAAGCAUCUAAGCACGAAACUUGCCCCGAGAUGAGUUCUCCCUGAGACUAUAAGUCUCCUGAAGGAACGUUAAAGACGAUGACGUUGAUAGGCCGGGUGUGUAAGCGCAGCGAUGCGUUGAGCUAACCGGUACUAAUGAACCGUGAGGCUUAACCUUACAACGCCGAAG
rnacentral:rRNA from 1 species